rnacentral:tRNA from 1 species
GCCGCCUUAGCUCAACGGUAGAGCAGCCGCUUCGUAAGCGGCAGGUUGAGAGUUCGAUUCCCUCAGGCGGCUCCA